rnacentral:misc_RNA from 1 species
GUACCUCUCAAAGGAUGAGUUUAAACAUGUUUAAGCUGAUUCUUUGGAUUUGGGUCUUGCUGUGAAUGUUAUCUCAGCUUACCUUGAAAGCAUUAGCAAGCUUUUUCUGAGUCUUUUCUUGAUGAGGCGUUCUAAUGUUUUAUGUCUCAAAGAAAAUGGACAAGGUUCUAAGCAUGCUUCUAACCAUUGGGUCUCUAUAUUUUUCU